UGGACUCGGGUAGUGGCGGACGGGUGAGUAACACGUGGGAACGUGCCUUUAGGUUCGGAAUAACUCAGGGAAACUUGUGCUAAUACCGAAUGUGCCCUUCGGGGGAAAGAUUUAUCGCCUUUAGAGCGGCCCGCGUCUGAUUAGCUAGUUGGUGAGGUAAAGGCUCACCAAGGCGACGAUCAGUAGCUGGUCUGAGAGGAUGAUCAGCCACAUUGGGACUGAGACACGGCCCAAACUCCUACAGGAGGCAGCAGUGGGGAAUCUUGCGCAAUGGGCGAAAGCCUGACGCAGCCAUGCCGCGUGAAUGAUGAAGGUCUUAGGAUUGUAAAAUUCUUUCACCGGGGACGAUAAUGACGGUACCCGGAGAAGAAGCCCCGGCUAACUUCGUGCCAGCAGCCGCGGUAAUACGAAGGGGGCUAGCGUUGCUCGGAAUUACUGGGCGUAAAGGGAGCGUAGGCGGACAUUUAAGUCAGGGGUGAAAUCCCGGGGCUCAACCUCGGAAUUGCCUUUGAUACUGGGUGUCUUGAGUAUGAGAGAGGUGUGUGGAACUCCGAGUGUAGAGGUGAAAUUCGUAGAUAUUCGGAAGAACACCAGUGGCGAAGGCGACACACUGGCUCAUUACUGACGCUGAGGCUCGAAAGCGUGGGGAG
rnacentral:rRNA from 1 species